UACGAGGGGGGCAAGCGUUGGUCGGAAUUAUUGGGCGUAAAGGGUGCGUAGGCGGUCUGUUAAGUCAUCUGUGAAAUCUAUGGGCUCAACCCAUAGUCUGCAGGCGAAACUGUCGGGCUUGAGUAUGGGAGAGGUGAGUGGAAUUUCCGGUGUAGCGGUGAAAUGCGUAGAUAUCGGAAGGAACACCUGUGGCGAAAGCGGCUCACUGGACCAUUACUGACGCUGAGGCGCGAAAGCGUGGGGAGCAAACAGG
rnacentral:rRNA from 1 species